rnacentral:tRNA from 1 species
GGCCCGUUGGACAAGGGGAUAAGACACCGCCCUUUCACGGCGGUAACACGGGUUCGAAUCCCGUACGGGUCA